AUUGAACGCUGGCGGCAUGCUUUACACAUGCAAGUCGAACGGUAACAGGCCGCAAGGUGCUGACGUGUGGCGAACGGGUGAGUAAUGCAUCGGAACGUGCCCAGUCGUGGGGGAUAACUACUCGAAAGAGUAGCUAAUACCGCAUACGAUCUAUGGAUGAAAGCGGGGGACCGUAAGGCCUCGCGCGAUUGGAGCGGCCGAUGUCAGAUUAGGUAGUUGGUGGGGUAAAGGCUCACCAAGCCAACGAUCUGUAGCUGAUCUGAGAGGACGACCAGCCACACUGGGACUGAGACACGGCCCAGACUCCUACGGGAGGCAGCAGUGGGGAAUUUUGGACAAUGGGCGCAAGCCUGAUCCAGCAAUGCCGCGUGCAGGAAGAAGGCCUUCGGGUUGUAAACUGCUUUUGUACGGAACGAAACGGCUCUGGUUAAUACCCGGGGCUAAUGACGGUACCGUAAGAAUAAGCACCGGCUAACUACGUG
rnacentral:rRNA from 1 species